UCAGUUCAGAUUGCAGGCUGCAACUCGCCUGCAUGAAGUUGGAAUUGCUAGUAAUCGCGAAUCAGAAUGUCGCGGUGAAUACGUUCCCGGGCCUUGUACACACCGCCCGUCACACCAUGAGAGUCGAUAACACCCGAAGCCUGUGAGCUAACCGUAAGGAGGCAGCAGUCGAAGGUGGGGUUGAUGAUUGGGGUGAAGUCGUAACAAGGUAUC
rnacentral:rRNA from 1 species